GACACACGUGGGGGACACACACACACCUGGGCACACCUGGGGGGUAGCUGGGCACACCUGGAACACACACCUGGGAGGGGACACACCUGGGGACACACCUAGGCACAAGCUCAUCCCUGUGUCCUGUCCCAUCCUUUCCCAGGUGUCCCAGCAGGACACUGGUGCCCAGUUCUGGGAUGCUCAUCCCUGUAUUCCUAUAUUAUCCCUGUAUCCCAGGUAUCCCCAGAGGACAGCAGUGCUCAGUUCCUGAUCCCUGUAUCCAUGUAUUAUCCCUGUAUUAUCCCAGGUAUCCCCAGAGGACACUGGUGCCCAGUUCCUGAUCCCUGUAUCCCUGUAUCCCUAUAUCCAUUCCCAGGUAUCCCCAGAGGACACUGGUGCCCAGUUCCUGAUCCCUGUAUCCAUGUAUCUCAUCCCUAUAUCCCUGUCUCCCAGGUAUCCCCAGAGGACACUGGCGCCCAGUUCCUGAUCCCUGUAUCCCUGUAUCCCUAUAUCCAUUCCCAGGUAUCCCCAGAGGACAGCAGUGCUCAGUUCCUGAUCCCUGUAUCCCUGUAUCUCAUCCCUAUAUCCAUUCCCAGGUAUCCCCAGAGGACAGCAGUGCCCAGUUCCUGAUCCCUGUAUUCCUAUAUUAUCCCUGUAUCCCAGGUAUCCCCAGAGGACACUGGUGCCCAGUUCCUGAUCCCUGUAUUCCUGUAUUAUCCCUGUAUCCCAGGUAUCCCCGGAGGACACUGGUGCCCAGUUCCUGAUCCCUGUAUUCAUGUAUUAUCCCUGUAUCAUCCCUGUAUCCCAUCCAUUCCCAGGUAUCCCCGGAGGACACUGGUGCCCAGUUCCUGAUCCCAGUUCUGGGAUGCUCAUCCCUAUAUCCAUUCCCAGGUAUCCCCGGAG